CCUACGGGGGGCAGCAGUGAGGAAUAUUGGUCAAUGGCCGGAAGGCUGAACCAGCCAAGCCGCGUGAAGGACGAAGGUGCCCAGCAUUGUAAACUUCUUUUGUCAAGGGACACAAUCAGGCUCGAGAGCCUGACCGCGGGUACUUGAAGAAAAAGCAUCGGCUAACUCCGUGCCAGCAGCCGCGGUAAUACGGGGGAUGCGAGCGUUAUCCGGAUUUAUUGGGUUUAAAGGGUGCGUAGGCGGACUGUUAAGUCAGCGGUAAAAGCCCGGGGCUCAACCCCGGCGAGCCGUUGAAACGGGCUGUCUUGAGAUGUCGAGAGGUAUGCGGAAUGCGCAGUGUAGCGGUGAAAUGCUUAGAUAUUGCGCAGAACUCCGAUUGCGAAGGCAGCAUACCGGCGGCGAUCUGACGCUGAGGCACGAAAGCGUGGGUAGCGAACAGGAUUAGAUACCCUGGUAGUC
rnacentral:rRNA from 1 species